rnacentral:misc_RNA from 1 species
GCUGCGCAGAAAACCUUCCUUGUCGGCAUCGAGGAUCGCGACCAGCGCGCAUUCCGGAAUGUCGAGGCCUUCGCGCAGCAGGUUGAUGCCGACCAGCGCGUCGAAUGCGCCGAGUCGCNUCGCGGAUGAUCUCAAUGCGCUCGAUGGUGUCGAUGUCCGAGUGCAUGUAGCGCACGCGGAUGCCCUGCUCGUGCAGAUAUUCGGUGAGGUCUUCCGCCAUGCGCUUGGUCAGCACGGUGAUCAGCGAGCGAUAGCCCGCCUGCGCGGUGGCGCGGACCUCGCCGACCAG